rnacentral:rRNA from 1 species
AUUGAACGCUGGCGGCAUGCUUUACACAUGCAAGUCGAACGGCAGCACGGGUGCUUGCACCUGGUGGCGAGUGGCGGACGGGUGAGUAAUACAUCGGAACGUGUCCAGAAGAGGGGGAUAACGCAUCGAAAGAUGUGCUAAUACCGCAUAUACUCUAAGGAGGAAAGCAGGGGAUCGAAAGACCUUGCGCUUUUGGAGCGGCCGAUGUCUGAUUAGCUAGUUGGUGGGGUAAGGGCCUACCAAGGCGACGAUCAGUAGUUGGUCUGAGAGGACGACCAGCCACACUGGGACUGAGACACGGCCCAGACUCCUACGGGAGGCAGCAGUGGGGAAUUUUGGACAAUGGGGGCAACCCUGAUCCAGCCAUUCCGCGUGAGUGAAGAAGGCCUCGGUUGUAAGUACGUCUUUCGGUCAGGAACGAAACGGUAGAGGCGUAAUACCUUACUAAUA